rnacentral:rRNA from 1 species
GUGACGGACAGACCUCCGGUCAGCCGGUUGUGCCGCCAGGUGCACCGCCGGGUAUCUGAGUCUGGAACGGAUAAGCGCUGAAAGCAUCUAAGCGCGAAGCCGUCCGCAAGAUGAGAACUCCUCACGAGGGCCGUCACAGACGAUGACGUUGAUAGGGCGCAGGUGUAAAGACGGCGACGUCAAAGCCGAGCGCUACUAAUUGCCCGAAGCUUUCUCCCG